rnacentral:rRNA from 1 species
CAAGUCGAGCGAACAGAUAAGGAGCUUGCUCCUUUGACGUUAGCGGCGGACGGGUGAGUAACACGUGGGUAACCUACCUAUAAGACUGGGAUAACUUCGGGAAACCGGAGCUAAUACCGGAUAACAUUUGGAACCGCAUGGUUCUAAAGUGAAAGAUGGUUUUGCUAUCACUUAUAGAUGGACCCGCGCCGUAUUAGCUAGUUGGUAAGGUAACGGCUUACCAAGGCGACGAUACGUAGCCGACCUGAGAGGGUGAUCGGCCACACUGGAACUGAGACACGGUCCAGACUCCUACGGGAGGCAGCAGUAGGGAAUCUUCCGCAAUGGGCGAAAGCCUGACGGAGCAACGCCGCGUGAGUGAUGAAGGGUUUCGGCUCGUAAAACUCUGUUAUUAGGGAAGAACAAACGUGUAAGUAACUGUGCACGUCUUGACGGUACCUAAUCAGAAAGCCACGGCUAACUACGUGCCAGCAGCCGCGGUAAUACGUAGGUGGCAAGCGUUAUCCGGAAUUAUUGGGCGUAAAGCGCGCGUAGGCGGUUUCUUAAGUCUGAUGUGAAAGCCCACGGCUCAACCGUGGAGGGUCAUUGGAAACUGGGAAACUUGAGUGCAGAAGAGGAAAGUGGAAUUCCAUGUGUAGCGGUGAAAUGCGCAGAGAUAUGGAGGAACACCAGUGGCGAAGGCGACUUUCUGGUCUGUAACUGACGCUGAUGUGCGAAAGCGUGGGGAUCAAACAGGAUUAGAUACCCUGGUUAGUCCACUCCCUCA